ACGAACGCUGGCGGCGUGCUUAACACCUGCCAGUCGAACGGAAAGGCCCUGCUUUUGUGGGGUGCUCGAGUGGCGAACGGGUGAGUAACACGUGAGUAACCUGCCCUUGACUUUGGGAUAACUUCAGGAAACUGGGGCUAAUACCGGAUAGGAGCUCCUGCUGCAUGGCGGGGGUUGGAAAGUUUCGGCGGUUGGGGAUGGACUCGCGGCUUAUCAGCUUGUUGGUGGGGUAGUGGCUUACCAAGGCUUUGACGGGUAGCCGGCCUGAGAGGGUGACCGGCCACAUUGGGACUGAGAUACGGCCCAGACUCCUACGGGAGGCAGCAGUGGGGAAUAUUGCACAAUGGGCGGAAGCCUGAUGCAGCAACGCCGCGUGCGGGAUGACGGCCUUCGGGUUGUAAACCGCUUUCGCCUGUGACGAAGCGUGAGUGACGGUAAUGGGUAAAGAAGCACCGGCUAACUACGUG
rnacentral:rRNA from 1 species